rnacentral:tRNA from 1 species
GCGGGCGUGGAGAAACUGGUAAACUCAGCAGACUUAAAAUCUGCCGCCUACAAUGGCUUACGGGUUCGAUCCCCGUCGCCCGCACCA